AGUAGGAGAAGAUGGUCAAGUAUGGUGGCUCACACCUGUAAUCCCAGCAUUAUGGGAGUCCAAGGCAAAUGAGAUCACAUGAUGUCAGGAAUUCGA